GACAGUUUAGUUUCUGCUCAUCCACUGGGGGACUUGCCACUUCUUCUAGGAUAAGGCAGAGCUCAGAGUAAGAUUCUAAAGGAGAGAAGAGGUCGGAGGCCCUUGAAGGGACACAAAAGUGAUGAGCGACUUCAGGCUCCUGAGCACUGAAUUGUGUGUUGGAGUACGGCCCUGGCCCCUGUCUGUACACAUCCACGCUCGCCUACUUUGCCCCCAAUCAAAUUAACCUAUUCUGGGGCAAUUGCUCCUUCUGCAAGGCCCCAGGGGUCAGCCCAGGAGUGUUUCAUAAGGUUUAGGUUUGGGCUUAACAGCUAUGAGAGGGAGUGAGCUCCUCGUCACUGGAGCAAGUGGUCAUGAUGUAAGCCGUCCUACGGAGAGACCCCCACGGCAAGGACCUGAGGACCGCCUCCAGCCCGCAGCCAGGGAGAAACUGAGGCCUCAGCCUUCAAGGAAGAGAGCACUGCCCACAAGCAGCUUCGAGCUGCGCGCAGCCGGAAUCUCACAAACAGCCC
rnacentral:lncRNA from 1 species